GAUCAUUACUGAGUGCGGGCUGCCUCCGGGCGCCCAACCUCCCACCCGUGAAUACCUAACACUGUUGCUUCGGCGGGGAACCCCCUCGGGGGCGAGCCGCCGGGGACUACUGAACUUCAUGCCUGAGAGUGAUGCAGUCUGAGUCUGAAUAUAAAAUCAGUCAAAACUUUCAACAAUGGAUCUCUUGGUUCCGGCAUCGAUGAAGAACGCAGCGAACUGCGAUAAGUAAUGUGAAUUGCAGAAUUCAGUGAAUCAUCGAGUCUUUGAACGCACAUUGCGCCCCCUGGCAUUCCGGGGGGCAUGCCUGUCCGAGCGUCAUUGCUGCCCAUCAAGCCCGGCUUGUGUGUUGGGUCGUCGUCCCCCCCGGGGGACGGGCCCGAAAGGCAGCGGCGGCACCGUGUCCGGUCCUCGAGCGUAUGGGGCUUUGUCACCCGCUCGACUAGGGCCGGCCGGGCGCCAGCCGACGUCUCCAACCAUUUUUCUUCAGGUUGACCUCGGAUCAGGUAGGGAUACCCGCUGAACCUAAGCAUAUCA
rnacentral:misc_RNA from 1 species